AAAAAGGUAAUGCUUUGAUUUUGAUUACAGGUGUGGUCUUUAAAAAAAUUAAUGCAUGGCAAGGUUGAUAGUGAGACUAAUAAAUUCUUUCAGCAGAAUUCAGCUAGACACAAAAAAAAGACAAUCACUACAGCCUUCCAAGAAGAUGGACUGCCUCACAAUAGUUUCCUUGAGGACUGUCUUGAAAUAUCCAGAGUUUAAGAUUCAAGAAACGGACUCUAUCUGGAAAAGGAAAACAAUAUCAAAGCUCCUCUGUGAGAAGUUGGUCAAGGAAAGCAUUCAGAAGAAAGUGGAGAUUCAUUGUUUUUACCAGAUCCAGCAGAUCACAGAAAGCAUCUAGUAGGGGAGGUCUACAGAUCGAAGCAUGCCAAACGUGUAAAGAACAAGUUUCCAGGAUUAAGCCAGCCAGUAGAUGAGACUAUUAUAUCAAAAAUACAUUUACUUGUACACGAGGGCACACAAAGCGUUGAUGAAACAAAAAGACAUUUCCGUCUGUUUGUAAAGGAUACUAUUUCACCAGGGAACACCACCUCAGAAUUUAACAGAUGCUUUUACCCCGCCAAUAAGGAUGUAAGAAAUCACAUUUACAGGGCACCGAGAUUUUGCCAGUAAGUUCUAAAUUUUUAGGUCACCUGAAUUCAUUCAGGUGACCUAUUGCUAUCUGUUUUUGUCCGUCGUCGUUCGUCGUGCGUUAACAUUUGAACAUUUUCAGCUUCUUCUCUGAAACCCCUGAACCAAUUUCAACCAAUUUUGGCAUAUAGCAUCUGUGGGUGGAGGGGAACAAAAAUUGUGAAAUUCGUGGUCCCUGCCCCCUGGGGCCUGAGGGGUGGGGCAAAAACCAUCAAAAUGAGUGUAAUUUUAAAAAAUCUUCUUCUUUACUCCUGGACAUCAAGAAGCCAAACUGUGGGCAUAAUUAUAAUGAGCGUUGAGCCCUCUACCAAAAAUGUGAAAUUCAUGGCCCCUGGGGCAGGGGUUCUUGUGUUAG